rnacentral:rRNA from 2 species
GGGUGAGUAACACGUGAGUAACCUGCCCUUAACUCUGGGAUAAGCCUGGGAAACUGGGUCUAAUACCGGAUAUGACUCCUCAUCGCAUGGUGGGGGGUGGAAAGCUUUUUGUGGUUUUGGAUGGACUCGCGGCCUAUCAGCUUGUUGGUGAGGUAAUGGCUUACCAAGGCGACCACGGGUAGCCGGCCUGAAAGGGUGACCGGCCACACUGGGACUGAGACACGGCCCAGACUCCUACGGGAGGCAGCAGUGGGGAAUAUUGCACAAUGGGCGCAAGCCUGAUGCAGCGACGCCGCGUGAGGGAUGACGGCCUUCGGGUUGUAAACCUCUUUCAGUAGGGAAGAAGCGAAAGUGACGGUACCUGCAGAAGAAGCGCCGGCUAACUACGUGCCAGCAGCCGCGGUAAUACGUAGGGCGCAAGCGUUAUCCGGAAUUAUUGGGCGUAAAGAGCUCCUAAGCGGUUUGUCGCGUCUGCCGUGAAAGUCCGGGGCUCAACUCCGGAUCUGCGGUGGGUACGGGCAGACUAAAGUGAUGUAGGGGAGACUGGAAUUCCUGGUGUAGCGGUGAAAUGCGCAAAUAUCAGGAGGAACACCGAUGGCGAAGGCAGGUCUCUGGGCAUUAACUGACGCUGAGGAGCGAAAGCAUGGGGAGCGAACAGGAUUAAAUACCCUGGUAGUCCAUGCCGUAAACGUUGGGCACUAGGUGUGGGGGACAUUUCCACGUUUUCCGCGCCGUAGCUAACGCAUUAAGUGCCCCCCCUGGGGAGUACGGCCGCAAGGCUAAAACUCAAAGGAAUUGACGGGGGCCCCCACAAGC